GACGAACGCUGGCGGCGUGCUUAACACAUGCAAGUCGAACGGAAAGGCCCUGCUUUUGUGGGGUGCUCGAGUGGCGAACGGGUGAGUAACACGUGAGUAACCUGCCCUUGACUUUGGGAUAACUUCAGGAAACUGGGGCUAAUACCGGAUAGGAGCUCCUGCUGCAUGGUGGGGGUUGGAAAGUUUCGGCGGUUGGGGAUGGACUCGCGGCUUAUCAGCUUGUUGGUGGGGUAGUGGCUUACCAAGGCUUUGACGGGUAGCCGGCCUGAGAGGGUGACCGGCCACAUUGGGACUGAGAUACGGCCCAGACUCCUACGGGAGGCAGCAGUGGGGAAUAUUGCACAAUGGGCGGAAGCCUGAUGCAGCAACGCCGCGUGCGGGAUGACGGCCUUCGGGUGGUAAACCGCUUUCGCCUGUGACGAAGCGUGAGUGACGGUAAUGGGUAAAGAACACCGGCUAACUACGUG
rnacentral:rRNA from 1 species